GGUGUUGUGGCUCAGUGGUAGAGUACUUGCCUAGCAUGCAAUAGGCACUGGGCUCAAUCCUCAGCACCACGU
rnacentral:tRNA from 1 species